AUGGCUCAGAUUGAACGCUGGCGGCGUGCUUAACACAUGCAAGUCGAACGCGAAAGGGACUUCGGUCCUGAGUAAAGUGGCGCACGGGUGGAGUAACGCGUGGAUAAUCUGCCCUUAUGAUCGGGAUAACAGUUGGAAACGGCUGCUAAUACCGGAUACGCUCAAAAUGAACUUUUUGAGGAAAGAUGGCCUCUGCUUGCAUGCUAUCACGUAAGGAUGAGUCCGCGUCCCAUUAGCUUGUUGGCGGGGUAACGGCCCACCAAGGCAACGAUGGGUAGCCGAUUUGAGAGGAUGAUCGGCCACACUGGAACUGAAACACGGUCCAGACUCCUACGGGAGGCAGCAGUGGGGAAUAUUGCGCAAUGGGCGAAAGCCUGACGCAGCGACGCCGCGUGAGGGGAAUGAAGGUUUUCGGAUCGUAAACCUCUGUCAGAAGGGAAGAAACUACGUUGUGCUAAUCAGCAGCGUACUGACGGUACCUUCAAAGGAAGCACCGGCUAACUCCGUGCCAGCAGCUGC
rnacentral:rRNA from 1 species